rnacentral:tRNA from 1 species
AUCCAGGGAUGGGAAUCGAAACCAGUGUUCCGCUUACCGGGCAGAUGCCAUGUCCACUAGGCUACCCUAGA